rnacentral:rRNA from 1 species
AACUUGAGAGUUUGAUCCUGGCUCAGAACGAACGCUGGCGGCAGGCCUAACACAUGCAAGUCGAACGCGAAACUUCCUUCGGGAAGAGGUAGAGUGGCAAACGGGUGAGUAACACGUGGGAACGUACCCGGCAGUACGGAAUAGCUCAGGGAAACCUGGGGUAAUACCGUAUACGCCCUGCGGGGGAAAGAUUUAUCGCUGUCGGAGCGGCCCGCGGCGGAUUAGCUUGUUGGUGGGGUAACGGCCCACCAAGGCGACGAUCCGUAGCUGGUCUGAGAGGAUGAUCAGCCACACUGGGACUGAGACACGGCCCAGACUCCUACGGGAGGCAGCAGUGGGGAAUAUUGGACAAUGGG